rfam:Myotis lucifugus cont2.33141, whole genome shotgun sequence.
GGUGGUUCUCAGGUGACACAGCCCGGAAUCAGGCUCCCUCCUCUCUGGUUCCAGGUGUGUGCCUAAGAACCGCA